rnacentral:rRNA from 1 species
AGAGGGUGCGAGCGUUAAUCGGGAUUUACUGGGGCGUAAAGCGUGCGUAGGCGGCUUCUUAAGUCGGAUGUGAAAUCCCUGAGCUUAACUUAGGGAAUUGCGUUCGAUACUGGGAAGCUAGAGUAUGGGAGAGGAUGGUAGAAUUCCAGGUGUAGCGGUGAAAUGCGUAGAGAUCUGGAGGAAUACCGAUGGCGAAGGCAGCCAUCUGGCCUAAUACUGACGCUGAGGUACGAAAGCAUGGGGAGCAAACAGGAUUAGAUACCCUGGUAGUCCAUGCCGUAAACGAUGUCUACUAGCCGUUGGGGCCUUUGAGGCUUUAGUGGCGCAGCUAACGCGAUAAGUAGACCGCCUGGGGAGUACGGUCGCAAGACUA